CAUCAGACUUUGAUAAGGAAUAGUAAGAAUUUUUUAUUUUUCAGAGAGCUGCCGGAUGCUGCGAGACAGUAAAGAAAAAUUCCCAACUCGCCUUUGAGUCCUUUUGCCCAAGCUAUCAGUUAGGUUUAUAGUGUGUAAGCAAAAGCGUGUUGUCCGCGUUAAGGAUCAUAAGAGCGUAUUGUCUUGUUUUCAUGUUAAAAUUGAUCUGACAGAUGAGCAGAUGGAUUUUAAAUAUUGACAGAUGGGAAAUGAAAUCAAAAGAAUACGAAUUAGAGUGGUACCACGGAGUAAGAUAGACUUCGUCUCUAAG
rnacentral:ncRNA from 1 species